GAUCAACAGACCAACUAUUUCUUUAGCCGACAGCGUCCGUUGAUAACUUUCAGGCCUAGCUCAGACAUCGAGUUUCUGGCUGUCCGUAGGCUGUAUUAGAGACAGGAGCAGCAUGCACCCAGGUAAGUAGUCGAACUGUUUUAAAUGGUUUAACUACUUACAUCAGGGUGGCACCAGGGCACUCCAAGCACCAUAACCACUACACUGUAGGGCCUAGAUCAUGAGAUAUUAUUGAAGAUUCUAACCAGUAGCUUUGGCUCUCUGUCAGCUGUAGGUGAGAGGCACAGCACGACAGAACCAUAGUAAGAAGUCAAUCCGUUCUAUAAUAGUUUUGCUACUUACAAUGAGACGCUCCAGGGAACACCUG